AGAUUUUCAGUAGGUGGGCCACAUUGUUUAGAACUUUUGGCCUAAAAAUCAGGUUGUUUAACUCCUGGGUAGGCCAUAAUAUGCCAAAAAAAAAAAAAAAAGAAUUGGCAUAAAAAAGAAGUCAUCUGUGGAUAAAGUGUAACAAGUACUUUGUUUCUUGUGCCACAAAAAUCUUAUGGAUAAAGUGUAAUGAGUACUUUGUGAAACUACACAUCCAAAUAGCCCAACUGUCUUUUUAGUGGAAAACAAUUUCCAAGCACGCAUGGAUUUUGUGUAUCCAAAGAUGCCUUAAAAGGCAAAACCCAACAUCAUUUACCAUUUUCAAUUAUUCCUUAAUCAUGGGUUCUCACUUUCCAUUUGUCAUACUAUUCUUGCUACAGGUUACGCCAUACAAGAAAAUACGACGAGUAGCUUUCGUAAACUCGAUACCAAAAUGCGCUGCCGGAAAGAUCUUGAGGAGGGAGCUGGUGAUCAUUUUAAGUCCAUUGGGUGGCUCCUGCAGAGGAUGGACUACUCUCCACAAUGCUUUUCUUUUUACAAGCAUAUCGAAUUCUACAUUUAAUGGAUUUUGGAUCAGAGAUCAUUCCAAUGGCUGCUGAAGAAUACAAUGUUCAGAUGAAGGAAUGGGUAUUGUAUGUUGGAACAAAAGGUUGCUGAUAACAGGUCAGACUUUUGGUUGGGGCAUAGUUAGUACCUGAUGUAUAGGUUGGGGCAGAGUUACUGUUUCAUGUGGUGGGUUGCUAAUCUAAGAGAAUUACAGUCGCACACAAGAAAACUCUUGUGUGCUUCUGUUUUUUUUUCCUCCAUUCAUUGUUACUUCUGUUUUGCCAACAGUCUUCAUUAGAACUUGUGGCUUUCCAUUUCAUCAUCAUCACCAGGUUUAGUUUAAUCCACUGAUGAAUCUACAACAGAUCAUCAUCAUCAUCAUCAUUGGGUUCAGCUUAAUCUACUGGCAAAGUUUUUUAAGAAGCUACCACCUUGGAAAUUUUGGUCCAUUCCAUACUUGAUUUAUGAAAGCUAACAACUUCGUGAGAAGAGU